rnacentral:rRNA from 1 species
GACGAACGCUGGCGGCGUGCCUAAUACAUGCAAGUAGAACGCAGUUGCGAACGGGUGAGUAACGUGUAGGUAACUGCCUCAUAGAGGGGGAUAACAAUUGGAACAGAUAGCUAAUAACGCAUACUGUGAGAUGGACCCGCGUUGUAUUAGCUAGUUGGUGAGGUAAAGGCUCACCAAGGCGACGAUACAUAGCCGGCCUGAGAGGGUGAUCGGCUACACUGGGACUAAUACACGGCCCAUACGCCUACGGGAGACUGCAGUAGGGACGCUUCGGCAAUGGACGGAAGUCUUACCGCGCAACGCCGCGUGUGUGAAUAAGGUUUUCAGAUCGUAAAGCUCUGUUCUUAGAUAAGCGGUAACUAGCCAGAAAGGGACGGCUAACUACGUGCCAGCAGCCGCGGUAAUAC